rnacentral:rRNA from 1 species
AUGAUAAGGGCAUCACCAGCGCGCUUUACAAAUUUCAACGCCUCUCUAACCCCACUACAAAAAUCAGAGCUAGUUUCGAGGUCGGUCGGGGGGCUAUUGAACUUAUCAGACACACUUCCAGCGGACCUCACUAAGUUCCUGGUGCAGUCCUACCAGCCACAGACCUCUGAAAUGGUUUUCCCAGGAAGGGGAAGGAUCCGUGUCGAUGCUGACAGUGUUCAGAGGAUCACUACAUGGCUCAAGAUGAUUCAGGAUAUGGCUGGAAGAACGGAUGACACAUUCUUUAUGGCCUGGCUUGCGGUUGCCUUCAGCACUUUUCUAGCACCAACCACGGCCUUGAAGCUCAGCCCAAAGUGUUAUGGACUUGUGCUAGAUCAUCAAAUGCUAAAGAAUACAAACAUCUGCCUCUUUGUAGCAGAACACAUUAACGAAGCUUUCCGGAACAUGGACCAGGAGAAGCAAACUGUCUGCUGCUGCUUGUAUCACUUGAUGAUACUAUACCUUGAUGCGCUCGUACAUGACAUCCCAGUAAGCAACUGCGCGACACGAUCGAAUGCAUGGGAUAGUACUCUAAUUGCCAAGGUGAUCAAGAAGGAUACUAUCUCUCCUGGUGUGUUCGGCAAAUUACAACUUAAAGAGGAGUAUAGAGGCACGGAGCAGACACCACUGUUUGGUGGAAUUUUGCAAAUUGAAGCAUUCGUGGCAUCCAAGUUACCAAUAACAUACAAUCCGCAGAAAAAGGCAAAGAUUGCGAAAGUGCAGCCAUCAAUGCAAACUGGGGCGUCACACCGUGCUCCAAAAAGAAAGAGAUGGCGGUCAACUAUACAAGAAGAAGAAGAGUUUGUUGAGGAUGAGUCAGAAGAAGAUGAGGAAAUGGAAGCAGCGAUAGAUGCUGACAACGAUGAGGACACAGAUGCGGAUGAAUCAGAGGAGGAGGACAAGGAUGAGGAUGAAAAUGAAGAAGAUGCAGAGGAGGAGGAGGAUGAGGAGGAAGAGGAGGAGGAGGAGGAGGAGGGGGAGGAGGAGGAGGACAAACAAGAAGAGGACAAAGGAGAGGAGGAGGACAAGGAAGAAGAUAGUGAUGCAGAGGAGGAAGAAGAAGGUGAGGCCAAAGAGGGGGAUGGGGACAAAGGGGCAGCAGUUGAUGGCAGUGAGAGGGGAGAAGACAAAGGCGCAGCAGCUGAUGGCAGUGAGAGGGAAGAAGACGAUGAUGAAGAAGACGAGGAUGGUUAUGGUGAUGAUAAAGGGGGAUCCAAUGGAGGCAGCGACAGCAGCGAUGACGAUGAUGAUGACAAUGCCCCUGGUUCUGGUGGUACAGGUGGCAACACAUCCAGGAGGACUAGCACUUAUGCCACCCCUGCGAGCAGCAGCAAUUCAUUGAGUAGCAAGAGCACACUACAGAUGUUGAUUGACAAAACUUGCUGGAAAGAUAAGGAUUUGCCGAAGUCAAAGAAAAAUGACGAAGCAGAGUCUCAGGGCAGCAUUGAUAUGUUCAAGCUCUGCAACUUGAAGCCAGCUUUGCCAACCACCUUUCCCGUGCCAGAUUUCAGCGACAAAGAUAUGUGUGAGAAGAUCAACUUUGCCAUUGACAAGAGCCUGUUCUUAUCAAGUGAUGCUGAAAAGAAUCAAAUUGAUAUGGAGGAAGCAGGAAAGGGUCUUGACUGGGUUCAUUCAAAGGAAAAAUACAAGGAAUAUUUAAAGCAGCUCCCAGACCUAAGCUCCAGCAAGAGCAAGGUAGCAUCCACGGCAAACCCUCACGUGGUACAGAAGCGUAAAGCAGUUUCAAUGAAGAAGAAUCUGUAG